rnacentral:misc_RNA from 1 species
GAAAUUGCGAGUUGUUUUCUUCCUCAGAAACAAGUUGGUGCAACAAUUUUAUCGGAGUCGGAGAUCAACAGGUCAAGUGAUGAUAACAGUGCUACCAAAAAUAAACCUGUUCUUGAGGAGUUAGGUAAAUUCAUUUAUUUUCCUCUGUAUUUUCCAUCUCUUCUGCUAUUAUAAUUCUACCUAUUUCUUUGAGAUGGGCUAAUGUUCAACUGCAUGAAGCUAAGGCUGUAAUUCAUUCUUCGUUCUUAUCUUCUGAGAUACUGCAUAGUUCUCUUCAUUUUCCCUAUUAAUUUUCAUUCUUGUGCUACACUGGUCUGGUUAAUAAUUUUGUUUGUAAGAAUGAGGAUAUUCCUAAAAAGGCUGCAGUUGCACCAAUUGAUAUGGAUGAGAAUUUGCUAUGAUAGAUUUAUCACAGAUGACCAUUGAGUAUGUCAUUAUAAACAAUAAUAAUUCUGACUUUGAGAUAGUACGAAGGAAAAGUUGAAAAGAGAGAUACUUUGAAGAAUUGUAGGGAACAUCUAAAUAAAUGAGUAAAACAAAAAAUUGCUAAAAAUGGAUGGAAAGAGUAGGAAUGUAGCUAAUUUUAAAUUUGGGUCUUGCAGUGAUUGAGGAUUCUCUGUUUUCUUUUCCCAGACUGUAAGUAUCUUUAUGGGUGUAUAUACAAGUAUGGAUGAGAGAGAGAGAGAGAGA